rnacentral:rRNA from 1 species
AUUGAACGCUAGCGGGAUGCCUUACACAUGCAAGUCGAACGGAGUGGCGAACGGGUGAGUAAUGUAUCGGAACGUGCCCAGUAGCGGGGGAUAACUACGCGAAAGCGUAGCUAAUACCGCAUACUAUUGGAGCGGCCGAUAUCGGAUUAGCUAGUUGGUGGGGUAACGGCGCACCAAGGCGACGAUCCGUAGCUGGUUUGAGAGGAAGACCAGCCAAACUGGGACUGGGAAAAGGGCCCGAAUCCUACGGGAGGGAGCAGUGGGGAAUUUUGGACAAUGGGGGAAACCCUGAUCCAGCCAUCCCGGGUGUGCGAUGAAGGUCUUCGGGUUGGAAAGCACUUUUGGCAGGAAAGAGGUAACUGAAGAAUAAGCACCGGCUAACUACGUGCCAGCAGCCGCGGUAAUUC